GACCGACCUUCGGGAGCUUGCACAGGUGCUGCAUGGCUGUCGUCAGCUCGUGUCGUGAGAUGUUCGGUUAAGUCCGCUAACGAGCGCAACCCUCGCUGUGUGUUAUAUGUGUCACACGGGACUGCCGGGUCUUAAGCCGGAGGAAGUGGGGAUGAUGUCAAGUCAGCAUGGCCUUUACUAUCCUGGGCUACACACACGCUACAAUGGCCAACACAAUAGGUUGCUAAGCCGCGAGGUGGCGCCAAUCCAUAAAGUUAGGUCUCAGUUCAGAUUGUAGGCUGCAACCCGCCUGCAUGAAGAUGGAGUUGCUAGUAACCGCAGGUCAGCUAUACUGCGGUGAAUACGUUCCCGGGUCUU
rnacentral:rRNA from 1 species